AUUGAACGCUGGCGGCAGGCCUAACACAUGCAAGUCGAGCGGAGCGGCGGACGGGUGAGUAAGGCCUAGGAAUCUGCCUGGUAGUGGGGGAUAACGUCCGGUAACGGGCGCUAAUACCGCAUACUAUCAGAUGAGCCUAGGUCGGAUUAGCUAGCUGGUGGGGUAAAGGCCUAACAAGGCGACGAUCCGUAACUGGUCUGAGAGGAUGAUCAGUCACACUGGAACGGGGGCACGGUCCAAACUCCUACGGGAGGCAGGAGUGGGGAAUAUGGGGCAAUGGGCGAAAGCCUGAUCCAGCCAUGCCGCGUGUGUGAAGAAGGUCUUCGGAUUGUAAAGCACUUUAGGUUGGGAGGCGUUACCUACAGAAUAAGCACCGGCUAACUACGUGCCAGCAGCCGCGGUAAUAC
rnacentral:rRNA from 1 species